rnacentral:rRNA from 1 species
AGUCGUACGCUUCUUUUUCCCCGGAGCUUGCUCCACCGGAAAAAGAGGAGUGGCGAACGGGUGAGUAACACGUGGGUAACCUGCCCAUCAGAAGGGGAUAACACUUGGAAACAGGUGCUAAUACCGUAUAACAAUCAAAACCGCAUGGUUUUGAUUUGAAAGGCGCUUUCGGGUGUCGCUGAUGGAUGGACCCGCGGUGCAUUAGCUAGUUGGCGAGGUAACGGCUCACCAAGGCCACGAUGCAUAGCCGACCUGAGAGGGUGAUCGGCCACAUUGGGACUGAGACACGGCCCAAACUCCUACGGGAGGCAGCAGUAGGGAAUCUUCGGCAAUGGACGAAAGUCUGACCGAGCAACGCCGCGUGAGUGAAGAAGGUUUUCGGAUCGUAAAACUCUGUUGUUAGAGAAGAAUAAGGACGUUAGUAACUGAACGUCCCCUGACGGUAUCUAACCAGAAAGCCACGGCUAACUACGUGCCAGCAGCCGCGGUAAUACGUAGGUGGCAAGCGUUGUCCGGAUUUAUUGGGCGUAAAGCGAGCGCAGGCGGUUUCUUAAGUCUGAUGUGAAAGCCCCCGGCUCAACCGGGGAGGGUCAUUGGAAACUGGGAGACUUGAGUGCAGAAGAGGAGAGUGGAAUUCCAUGUGUAGCGGUGAAAUGCGUAGAUAUAUGGAGGAACACCAGUGGCGAAAGCGGCUCUCUGGUCUGUAACUGACGCUGAGGCUCGAAAGC